CCUACGGGGUGCUGCAGUGAGGAAUAUUGGUCAAUGGACGAGAGUCUGAACCAGCCAAGUAGCGUGAAGGAUGACUGCCCUAUGGGUUGUAAACUUCUUUUAUAUGGGAAUAAAACGUUCCACGUGUGGGAUUUUGUAUGUACCAUAUGAAUAAGGAUCGGCUAACUCCGUGCCAGCAGCCGCGGUAAUACGGAGGAUCCGAGCGUUAUCCGGAUUUAUUGGGUUUAAAGGGAGCGUAGGUGGAUUGUUAAGUCAGUUGUGAAAGUUUGCGGCUCAACCGUAAAAUUGCAGUUGAAACUGGCAGUCUUGAGUACAGUAGAGGUGGGCGGAAUUCGUGGUGUAGCGGUGAAAUGCUUAGAUAUCACGAAGAACUCCGAAUGCGAAGGCAGUUCACUGGACUGCAACUGACACUGAGGCUCGAAAGUGUGGGUAUCAAACAGGAUUAGAUACCCUAGUAGUC
rnacentral:rRNA from 1 species